rnacentral:rRNA from 1 species
CUACGGGACGCAGCAGUGAGGAAUAUUGCACAAUGGAGGAAACUCUGAUGCAGCAACGCCGCGUGGAGGAUGACGCAUUUCGGUGUGUAAACUCCUUUUAUAUGUCAAGAAAAUGACGGUAGCAUAUGAAUAAGCACCGGCUAACUCCGUGCCAGCAGCCGCGGUAAUACGGAGGGUGCAAGCGUUACUCGGAAUCACUGGGCGUAAAGGACGCGUAGGCGGGUUGGAAAGUCAGGUGUGAAAUCCUACAGCUUAACUGUAGAACUGCACUUGAAACUUCUAAUCUAGAGUAUGGGAGGGGGAGAUGGAAUUAGUGGUGUAGGGGUAAAAUCCGUAGAUAUCACUAGGAAUAUCUAAAGCGAAGGCGAUCUCCUGGAACAUUACUGACGCUAAGGCGUGAAAGCGUGGGGAGCAAACAGGAUUAGAUACCCUUGUAGUC